rnacentral:tRNA from 1 species
UGUUCUGUGGCUUAGUUGGUUAUGGCGCCGGUCAUAUGAAUACGGAGUCGUGGGUUCGAAUCCCACUAGAACGA